CCGCAGCCCGACUUGAACGGAAAUCCUUUUUUGCGUGUACUCUCGUUCUAUUUAAUGUCAAAUCGUCGAGCAAAAAAGAUUGGGAGUGGAAGGCGGAUAAAGC
rnacentral:sRNA from 1 species